UAAUACAGAGGGUGCAAGCGUUAAUCGGAAUUACUGGGCGUAAAGGGCGCGUAGGCGGUUUAGUAAGUUAGAGGUGAAAUCCCCGGGCUUAACCUGGGAAUGGCCUUUAAGACUGUUAGACUAGAGUAGAGUAGAGGGGAGUGGAAUUUCCGGUGUAGCGGUGAAAUGCGUAGAUAUCGGAAAGAACACCAGUGGCGAAGGCGGCUCCCUGGGCUCAUACUGACGUUGAGGCGCGAAAGCAUGGGUAGCAAACAGGAUUAGAUACCCUGGUAGUCCAUGCUGUAAACGAUGAAGACUAGAUGUUGCUGGGAUAACCUGGCAGUAUCGACGCAAACGCACUAAGUCUUCCGCCUGGGGAGUACGGUCGCAAGGCUA
rnacentral:rRNA from 1 species